rnacentral:rRNA from 1 species
AUUGAACGCUGGCGGCACGCCUAACACAUGCAAGUCGAGCGGCAGCGAGACUAGUAGCAAUACUAGUUGUCGGCGAGCGGCGGACGGGUGAGUAACACGUAGGAAUCUGCCCUUAAGCGGGGGAUAACCAAGGGAAACUUUGGCUAAUACCGCAUAAUCUCGAGAGAGCAAAGCUGCCCGCAAGGGUGGCACUUGAGGAGGAGCCUGCGUCCGAUUAGCUAGUUGGUGGGGGAAUGGCCGACCAAGGGGAUGAUCGGUAACUGGUCUGAGAGGACGACCAGUCACACUGGGACUGAGACACGGCCCAGACUCCUACGGGAGGCAGCAGUGGGGAAUAUUGGACAAUGGGGGCAACCCUGAUCCAGCGAUGCCGCGUGAGUGAAGAAGGCCUUCGGGUCGUAAAGCUCUUUAGGUUGGGAAGAAGGGUAUUGGCUGAAUAAUCCAGUACUUUGACGGUACCGACAGAAUAAGCACCGGCAAACUCUGUGCCAGCAGCCGCCGUAAAAC